rnacentral:rRNA from 1 species
AGAGUUUGAUCCUGGCUCAGAUUGAACGCUGGCGGCAUGCCUUACACAUGCAAGUCGAACGGCAGCACGGGUGCUUGCACCUGGUGGCGAGUGGCGAACGGGUGAGUAAUAUAUCGGAACGUACCCUAGAGUGGGGGAUAACGUAGCGAAAGUUACGCUAAUACCGCAUACGAUCUACGGAUGAAAGUGGGGGAUCGCAAGACCUCAUGCUCAUGGAGCGGCCGAUAUCUGAUUAGCUAGUUGGUGGGGUAAAAGCCUACCAAGGCGACGAUCAGUAGCUGGUCUGAGAGGACGACCAGCCACACUGGAACUGAGACACGGUCCAGACUCCUACGGGAGGCAGCAGUGGGGAAUUUUGGACAAUGGGGGCAACCCUGAUCCAGCAAUGCCGCGUGAGUGAAGAAGGCCUUCGGGUUGUAAAGCUCUUUUGUCAGGGAAGAAACGGGAUUUUCUAAUACAAAGUCCUAAUGACGGUACCUGAAGAAUAAGCACCGGCUAACUACGUGCCAGCAGCCGCGGUAAUACGUAGGGUGCAAGCGUUAAUCGGAAUUACUGGGCGUAAAGCGUGCGCAGGCGGUUGUGCAAGACAGAUGUGAAAUCCCCGGGCUCAACCUGGGAAUUGCAUUUGUGACUGCACGGCUAGAGUGUGUCAGAGGGGGGUAGAAUUCCACGUGUAGCAGUGAAAUGCGUAGGGAUGUGGAGGAAUACCGAUGGCGAAGGCAGCCCCCUGGGAUAACACUGACGCUCAUGCACGAAAGCGUGGGGAGCAAACAGGAUUAGAUACCCUGGUAGUCCACGCCCUAAACGAUGUCUACUAGUUGUCGGGUCUUAAUUGACUUGGUAACGCAGCUAACGCGUGAAGUAGACCGCCUGGGGAGUACGGUCGCAAGAUUAAAACUCAAAGGAAUUGACGGGGACCCGCACAAGCGGUGGAUGAUGUGGAUUAAUUCGAUGCAACGCGAAAAACCUUACCUACCCUUGACAUGUACGGAACUUACCAGAGAUGGUUUGGUGCUCGAAAGAGAACCGUAACACAGGUGCUGCAUGGCUGUCGUCAGCUCGUGUCGUGAGAUGUUGGGUUAAGUUCCGCAACGAGCGCAACCCUUGUCAUUAGUUGCUACGAAAGGGCACUCUAAUGAGACUGCCGGUGACAAACCGGAGGAAGGUGGGGAUGACGUCAAGUCCUCAUGGCCCUUAUGGGUAGGGCUUCACACGUCAUACAAUGGUACAUACAGAGGGCCGCCAACCCGCGAGGGGGAGCUAAUCCCAGAAAGUGUGUCGUAGUCCGGAUUGUAGUCUGCAACUCGACUACAUGAAGUUGGAAUCGCUAGUAAUCGCGGAUCAGCAUGUCGCGGUGAAUACGUUCCCGGGUCUUGUACACACCGCCCGUCACACCAUGGGAGCGGGUUUCACCAGAAGUAGGUAGCCUAACCGCAAGGAGGGCGCUUACCACGGUGGGAUUCGUGACUGGGGUGAAGUCGUAACAAGGUA